ACUGUCAGAGACGGAAGCUUCCGCGGAGCACCAAACCACAGGUGUGACUGGAGAGAGAUUUCAGCCACUCUGAUCAACACAGAGAGGGAGCUGUCUCUACUGACGUCAGAACCGGACGACCUAAAAGAAACUUUCACAAAAGUUUCAAGAACGCUACCCUCAAACAAGCAAGGCUGAAGAUAUCAAGUCUUUGAAGUGGACUGAGUAUCAUGUCUUGAGAUUGGCCUCAGUUUGUUUUUAGAAUAUCAACCCUAAUGGUUGACACGGCCAGGGUUUAAUGCUCCCAAUGCUGUUAAUUCAAGAACACAUUUCUGUCUUCGUAGAAGAUUAAAGUACUUGGUGGGAUUCAUUUUUGGUAAAGGAACUGAGGUAUAGAAUGGGGCUACAGGAUCUUACCCGAGGCUAAACCCUGAUAUAGCAACCCACUUCUUAUCUUUUUAGAUCAGUCAAAAAUAUAUAUAUAUAUUCCAGCCCAUUCCUCCCAGCUUUGAGAGGGAAAUGGACAAGAUGAUGUGGACUCAGCUGAGAAUGUGGAGUCUCAGUUCCAAUCUGGAUAUGGCUUUGAGAUCAGACAUUCCGGGAAUCAACGCGAGGGCUCUACUGGGAUAGAGCGCACCCUGGUAUUCACACAGCCAGCAGCAUUUUCUCUGUGAUUUUUUUCAUGGGAAAAUUCAAGCCCACACAAAUGCCUAAGGCAAGUGUACAGUAGGGUUGCCUGCAAGCGUGGUAGUCUGAAUCCUCGAGGUGGACUGUUCUUUUCAUCCACUGCACCAGGACCCACACGCACCAGGACCCACAAGCACCAGAGGAGACAGACCCACACGGUCCAGGACCCACACGCUGCAGGACCCACACGUUCCAGGACCCACGCGCUCCAGGACCCACAUGCUCCAGGACCCACACACUCCAGGACCCACACGCUGCAGGACCCACACACUCCAGGACCUACACUUUCCAGGACCCACACACUGCAGGACCCACACACUGCAGGACCCACACGCUGCAGGACCCACAUGCUGCAGGACCCACACACUCCAGGACCUACACUUUCCAGGACCCACACGCUGCAGGACCCACCCACACGCUGCAGGACCCACACGCUCCAGGACAUACACUUUCCAGGACCCACACGCUGCAGGACCCACACGCUGCAGAGGAGACAGACUCACAACUCCAGAGGAGACAGACUCACAACUCCAGAGGAGACAGACUCACAGCUCCAGAGGAGACAGACUCACAACUCCAGAGGAGACAGACUCACAACUCCAGGGGAGACAGACUCACAACUCCAGAGGAGACAGACUCACAGCUCCAGAGGAGACAGACUCACAGCUCCAGAGGAGACAGACUCACAGCUCCAGAUCUGUAUCUUUUACAACACAAGGUUUUCAUCAGCUGAAGGAGAAAGAGAUCGUGUAAGAAGGGAUUAAAGAAUCACUGCUGUAGACCAGAGAGAGAGAGAGAGAAUGAGAAAAAGUGAGAGCGAAAAAAGAGCGAGGAAGAGAGGAGCGAGUAGUGCACUGCUCACAGACCAAAAGAUGCAGAGAAAUAUGCAGAGAGAGGAAGAGAGACAGAUGACAUGGAAGAAUCAAAGGAAGAGGGGGAGGAGAGACUUACUCAGAAGACUAAAAGAGAAGGAAAGAUUAUGAAAUUAUUUGAAAUAAAUAAAUACAUGUAAGUGUAGGGAGAGAAAGCAGAGUGAAUAGCAAGCCUAAGGGAAAGGGAAGAGGAUGGAGGGGGAAGAGAGAGAGGUUGUGAAACAGGGAAGCAACAGAGGGAGUGGAAGGGCUUGUGUAUGUGUGUGUGAGAGAGAGAGAGAGAGAGUGAGAGAGAGAGUGAGAGAGAGAGAGAGAGGGAGAGAGAGGGAGAGAGAGGGAGAGAGAGAGAGCGAGAGAGAGAGAGGGAGAGAGAGAGAGCGAGAGAGAGAGAGAGGGAGAGAGGGAGAGAGGGAGAGAGAGAGCGAGAGAGAGAGAGAGAGAGAGGAGAAAUUGUGACUCAAUCAGCUGCCUCAUUGUUCACGCAGGACAAGUGCAGGAGAGAAGAGGAGAGUGUGACAAGGAAGGGAGGGAUAGAGGCAGGAAGGGAAAAAAGAGAGAGGGCGUCUUCAAUUUGGAGUGAUACACAAAGCUAACUCAUUAUAUUGCACACUAGAAUAUUGUCCUGAAUACAAAUUCAGUCCUCCCCACACGUGCAUAAACAAAGGCAAAUAUAAACGUGCAUGCAGGUGAAGAGUCAUUUCCUGUGCUAUUUGUAUUUAUUUGUUUGCUUAUUAGGAUCUGCAUUAGCUUUUGCAGAAGCAGCAGCUACUCUUCUUAAGGUCCACAAAAAACACAAAACAUGACAAGUAACAAACCACUGAUAGACAAGGACAGUCACACACAUGUAAAAUACAACAAUACACAAACAAUAACAGCAACAAAAAGAAAAGCCUAUUGUAUCUCUAAACUGUCAUACCGGCCAGGGUAUGUGACGAUGUGCACACAAUGCCAACAGAGAGAGGAGGAAGGAGGGAGCGUGAGCAGGAGGAGUGGGUGGCUUAUGGUCUCAACAGCUGAUACAAGCUGGCUCUGCCUCGCCUCGCGUCUGCAUGUCCAUUUCAACUUCACUCCCAACCACCACCAUGCUCUAACUGAGAAGCAGGAACAGAGUGACAGUAGUAAAAAACUAUUCCAAGUACACUAAUCCAUUUUAAAUAUAUAUGCUGCCCCAUCCAACAAUUACCCAGUGCUAGCUAAAAAACCCUUGUCUUCAAUUCUAAAUUGUGGAUUUUUAUUUAUUAAUGGGUAUUCUCUGCUUUUAAUUUAUACUUUAGUUCAACUGGAUGUGUUGUAGGGGCCAACUCAACAAAAUGUACUUCCGUAUUUCCUGAACCAUUUUGAUGUAAUAUCAACAUGGCUAGUUAUAGGGUAAAUAGAAGUGAUUGAGAUGGAAAGAGUGUUAUAGAAACGGAGCGAGAAAGAAAGUUAAUUUAAACUGUUUUAAAUGUAGUCUUUCCUGUAUUUGCCAAGUAACAUAACUGUAUAAAAAAGGUUAAUGCAUGUAUAUUGAGUUUUCAAAAAAUCAUGUGUGUGCAGUAUUGCCUUGCAAGCUAGUGGAUUCUAUAUCAGGCUGUGUGAAUCCACUACAGUACCGAUAGACUAACUGGGACAUGCAAUAACAGGGAGAGUGAAAUGCCAACAUGGCAAAGCUUCCAUGAUGAUGUAGCACCUCUUCCAUGAGGAUGUAGCACCACUUCCAUGAUGAUGUAGCACCUCUUCCAUGAGGAUGUAGCACCUCUUCCAUGAUGAUGUAGCACCUCUUCCAUGAGGAUGUAGCACCUCUUCCAUGAUGAUGUAGCACCACUUCCAUGAUGAUGUAGCACCUCUUCCAUGAGGAUGUAGCACCACUUCCAUGAUGAUGUAGCACCUCUUCCAUGAGGAUGUAGCACCUCUUCCAUGAUGAUGUAGCACCUCUUCCAUGAGGAUGUAGCACCUCUUCCAUGAGGAUGUAGCACCUCUUCCAUGAUGAUGUAGCACCUCUUCCAUGAGGAUGUAGCACCACUUCCAUGAUGAUGUAGCACCUCUUCCAUGAGGAUGUAGCACCUCUUCCAUGAUGAUGUAGCACCUCUUCCAUGAGGAUGUAGCACCUCUUCCAUGAUGAUGUAGCACCACUUCCAUGAUGAUGUAGCACCUCUUCCAUGAUGAUGUAGCAUCUCUUUCAUGAUGAUGUAGCACCUCUCUCAUGAUGAUGGAGCACCUCUCUCAUGAUGAUGUAGCACCUCUUUCAUGAUGAUGUAGCAUCUCUCUCAUGAUGAUGUAGCACCUCUUCCAUGAUGAUGUAGCACCUCUAUCAUGAUGAUGUAGCACCUCUAUCAUGAUGAUGUAGCACCUCUAUCAUGAUGAUGUAGCACCUCUUCCAUGGUGAUGUAGCACCUAUUUCAUGAUGAUGUAGCACCUCUAUCAUGAUGAUGUAGCACCUCUUCCAUGAUGAUGUAGCACCUCUAUCAUGAUGAUGUAGCACCUCUAUCAGGAUGAUGUAGCACCUAUUUCAUGAUGAUGUAGCACCUCUUCCAUGGGGAUGUAGCACCUAUUUCAUGAUGAAGUAGCACCUCUUCCAUGGUGAUGUAGCACCUAUUUCAUGAUGAUGUAGCACCUCUAUCAUGAUGAUGUAGCACCUAUUUCAUGAUGAUGUAGCACCUCUUCCAUGGUGAUGUAGCACCUAUUUCAUGGUGAUGUUGCACCUAUUUCAUGAUGAUGUAGCACCUAUUUCAUGAUGAUGUAGCACCUAUUUCAUGAUGAUGUAGCACCUCUUCCAUGAUGAUGUAGCACCUCUUUCAUGUCAGAUCUAAUCUGGCAGCCAACCUGGAGAUAUUACAGUCAGGAAUUCACUGAAAUCAUCAGACCCAGAAAUCACACGCCCCAUUUUCACAUUCAUAUA
rnacentral:lncRNA from 8 species